GGAACGGCGCUAUUUGCUUUACAACAGUUAUCAGGCAUAAAUGGUAUAUUCUACUUCUCUUCGACCGUCUUCAGAAGUGCGGGGGUUCCUCCUAACCUUGCCAACAUAUGCAUAGGGUUUGCCAAUUUAUCAGGAUCUGUCGUUGCAAUGCUUUUGAUGGAUAAGCUAGGAAGGAGGGUGCUACUCUUGGGGAGUUUUCUUGGCAUGGCAGCGGCA
rnacentral:misc_RNA from 1 species